rnacentral:lncRNA from 1 species
GCCCCCGCCCGCAUCUCUCGCUUGCAAAAGAGAAACUGUACUGGUAGAUCCGUAGCCUACCCAACCACUCCCCCGAUCCAUUCCUCUUCCUCCAUCCUGCCAUGGGCGCCGCCACCACCGUCGGUACGACCUCGGCGCCCCUCUCUCACUGCGCCACCGUGCCUCCCCUCUCCCCAUCCCCUCACCUUUUCUACCUAACCUAGGCCUCAGAUCGAGACCGGUCAGGAGAUCCCCAUGGCGCGCUAACUCACGGCCGCAGCGUGUUUUCCGAUCAGCGUCGUCGUUAAGGGCUUCGAGGUCGCGCGUCGGGAGAGGAGGCC